UUUUUAUGGAGAGUUUGAUCCUGGCUCAGGACGAACGCUGGCGGCAUGCCUCACACAUGCAAGUCGAACGGGGUUAGGUUGAGAGCUUGUUUUUGACCUAACCUAGUGGCGGACGGGUGAGUAACGCGUGGGCAACCUACCCUACAGACUGGGAUACCAUCGGGAAACUGAUGUUAAUACCGGAUACACUUAAGAUAACGC
rnacentral:rRNA from 1 species